rnacentral:rRNA from 1 species
UACGUAGGGAGCGAGCGUUGUCCGGAAUUACUGGGUGUAAAGGGAGCGUAGGCGGGAUCGCAAGUCAGAUGUGAAAUACAUAGGCUUAACCUAUGGGCUGCAUUUGAAACUGGCUGGCUGGAGUUGGCGAGAGGUAUGCGGAAUGUGCGGUGUAGCGGUGAAAUGCGUAGAUAUAAGGAAGAACACCAGUGGCGAAGGCGGCUUGCUGGACGACAACUGACGCUGAGGCGCGAAAGCGUGGGGAGCAA